rnacentral:rRNA from 1 species
GACAGAGGUGCCAAGCGUUAGGCGGAAUCACUGGGCUUAAAGCGCGUGUAGGUCGGCGGCCUAAGUACCUUGUGAAAUCCUGCGGCUCAACCGCAGAACUGCUUGGUAUACUGGGGUCGCUUGAGCCAUCCAGGGGGCAACUGGAACAAGCGGUGGAGCGGUGAAAUGCGUAGAUAUCGCUUGGAACGCCAAAGGUGAAAACAGGUUGCUGGGGAUGCGCUGACACUGGAGACGCGAAAGCCAGGGGAGCGAACGGG